GCCCACUUAGCUCAGUUGGUAAGAGCUUCAGUCUUGAAAGUUGAGGUCGCAGGUUCAAUUCCUGCAGUGCACA
rnacentral:tRNA from 1 species